rnacentral:rRNA from 1 species
ACUACGGGUGGCAGCAGUGGGGGAUAUUGCACAAUGGGGGGAACCCUGAUGCAGCGACGCCGCGUGGGUGAAGAAGCGCCUCGGCGCGUAAAGCCCUGUCAGCAGGGAAGAAAAUGACGGUACCUGAAGAAGAAGCCCCGGCUAACUACGGGCCAGCAGCCGCGGUAAUACGUAGGGGGAAAGCGUUAUCCGGAUUUACUGGGUGUAAAGGGGGCGCAGACGGGGAUGCAAGCCAGGAGUGAAAGCCCGGGGCCCAACCCCGGGACUGCUCUUGGAACUGCGUGGCUGGAGUGCAGGAGGGGCAGGCGGAAUUCCUGGUGUAGCUGUGAAAUGCGUAGAUAUCAGGAGGAACACCGGUGGCGAAGGCGGCCUGCUGGACUGCAACUGACGUUGAGGCCCGAAAGCGUGGGGAGCAAACAGGAUUAGAUACCCGUGUAGUC